GCAUCGGCGGCGGCGGCGGAGACGGAGAGAGGCAGGCAGGCAGGGCGAGGGCGAGAGACGGAGGGAGGGAGCGAGCGAGGCGGACCAGACAGACAGACAGGCGGGCGGGCGGGCGGGCAGAGCGAGCCACCCGCCAGGCUGCGCUCAGCCCCGCUGGCAGCGGAGAGAGCAGAAGGCAGGAGGAGGGAGGGGAGGAGGGGGAGGGAGGGAGAGAGGGAAUCCAGCUACCACCACCCAAAGCCAGCGUCUGCUUUCUGUCCUCAUUUCCUUUUCCCACCCAGCUUGGAGAGCAGAGAAAGGCAGAGAGAGCGAGAAAUAGAGACAGUCUGAGAGACAGACAGACAGCCAGAGAGAGCGGGAGGGAGGAGGGCGGAGGAGGAGGAGCAGGAGGACUACGCGGGGCGCGUUCCCUCCCAGCAGCCGGGCGCCCGCGUCGCUGCCACCGCCGGAAGACAGACGCCCCCUAAAACCCCUCGCCUGGCUCGGACCCACGGAGCCGGCAGCCCAGCACUCCGAUGGGAGCUUGCCUGAUUGUCAAGCCAUCGGCCUGGACCCCAGAGCCUACCCAGCUGAGCAUGUGCAGAGGGCCCCGAGUGCGGGGCGACGCUCAGGCCAUUACAGAGACCACCCUGGAGAUGCUGAUGAAGACAGGCCUUUCCUGCUGAGCCGGGCCUGUCUGCACAGCCUGCUCAGGCGCUGUCCACGCCCCGAGGCCUGGGCUCAGGCCGAAGUUGCUCCACAGCACCCCCAGCUGACAGCCAGCGACUGGCAGAGCCCCCAGGCACGGGGGCCCUCUCUCUUCCAGAGAUCUCCAGUGUGACAGCCCAGGCGGCAGAGCCGAGGGUAAGUGGUGGGGGUUCUCCUGGAGCCCUUUGGGGGUAAG
rnacentral:lncRNA from 1 species